rnacentral:tRNA from 1 species
GCAUCGGUGGCUCAGUGGUAGAAUUCUCGCCUUCCGCGCGGGAGACCUAGGUUUGACUCCCAACCAAUACA